rnacentral:rRNA from 1 species
UACGGGGGGGGCAAGCGGUUGUUCGGAAUUACUGGGCGUAAAGGGCGCGUAGGCGGUUCGCUAAGUCGGAUGUGAAACUACUGGGCUCAACCCAGAGCCUGCAUCCGAAACUGGCGGGCUAGAGUUCUGGAGGGGGUAGCGGAAUUCCUGGUGUAGCGGUGAAAUGCGUAGAUAUCAGGAGGAACACCGGUGGCGAAGGCGGCUACCUGGACAGAAACUGACGCUGAGGCGCGAAAGCUAGGGGAGCAAACAGG